rnacentral:rRNA from 1 species
CGGCGUGCCUAAUACAUGCAAGUCGAACGCUUUGUCUGUCACCGGAGCUUGCUCCAUCGACCGACAAAGAGUGGCGGACGGGUGAGUAACACGUGGGUAACUUGCCCAUCAGAGGGGGAUAACACUUGGAAACAGGUGCUAAUACCGCAUAAUUCCAGUGACCGCAUGGUCAUCGGAUGAAAGACGCUUUCGGGUGUCACUGAUGGAUAGACCCGCGCUGCAUUAGCUAGUUGGUGGGGUAAGGGCUCACCAAGGCCAUGAUGCAUAGCCGACCUGAGAGGGUGAUCGGCCACACUGGGACUGAGACACGGCCCAGACUCCUACGGGAGGCAGCAGUAGGGAAUCUUCGGCAAUGGACGGAAGUCUGACCGAGCAACGCCGCGUGAGUGAAGAAGGUUUUCGGAUCGUAAAACUCUGUUGUUAGAGAAGAAUCAGCGGGAGAGUCACUGUUCCCGCCCUGACGGUAUCUAACCAGAAAGCCACGGCUAACUACGUG